GAGUUUGAUCCUGGCUCAGGACGAACGCUGACGGUGUGCUUUAGGCAUGCAAGUCGAACGAGAAAGCCCUUCGGGGUGAGUAGAGUGGCGAACGGGUGAGUAACACGUGGGCAACCUGCCCCUCGCAGGGGGAUAACCGGAGGAAACUCCGGCUAAUACCCCGUAAGCUUUCAGGGUCGCAUGGCCCUGAAAGGAAAGGUAGCUUCGGCCAUCCGGCGAGGGAUGGGCCCGCGGUGCAUUAGCUAGUUGGUGGGGUAAAGGCCCACCAAGGCGACGAUGCGUAGCUGGUCUGAGAGGAUGAUCAGCCACACUGGGACUGAGACACGGCCCAGACUCCUACGGGAGGCAGCAGCCAGGAAUCUUGGGCAAUGGGCGAAAGCCUGACCCAGCAACACCGUGUGGGCGAUGAAGGCCUUCGGGUCGUAAAGCCCUGUUGAUAGGGACGAAGGGCGAAGGGUUAAUAGCCCCUAGCCUGACGGUACCUUUCGAGGAAGCCCCGGCUAACUACGUGCCAGCAGCCGCGGUAAUACGUAGGGGGCGAGCGUUGUCCGGAAUUAUUGGGCGUAAAGAGCGUGUAGGCGGUUCGGUAAGUCUGCCGUGAAAACCUGAGGCUCAACCUCGGGCGUGCGGUGGAUACUGCCGGGCUAGAGGACGGUAGAGGCGAGUGGAAUUCCCGGUGUAGCGGUGAAAUGCGCAGAUAUCGGGAGGAACACCAGUAGCGAAGGCGGCUCGCUGGGCCGUUCCUGACGCUGAGACGCGAAAGCUAGGGGAGCGAACAGGAUUAGAUACCCUGGUAGUCCUAGCUGUAAACGAUGGACACUAGGUGUGGGGGGAGUCGAAUCCCUCUGUGCCGCAGUUAACGCGUUAAGUGUCCCGCCUGGGGAGUACGGCCGCAAGGCUAAAACUCAAAAGAAUUGACGGGGGCCCGCACAAGCAGCGGAGCAUGUUCUUUAAUUCGAUGCAACGCGAAGAACCUUACCUGGACUUGACAUGGUGCUGCAAGCGCACGGAAACGUGUGACCUUCGAGGGUGCACCACAGAUGCUGCAUGGCUGUCGUCAGCUCGUGUCGCGAGAUGUUGGGUUAAGUCCCGCAACGAGCGCAACCCCUGUGGCGUGUUGCCAUCAUUAAGUUGGGGACUCACGCCAGACUGCCGGUGACAAACCGGAGGAAGGUGGGGAUGAGGUCAAGUCAUCAUGGUCCUUACGUCUAGGGCUACACACGUGCUACAAUGAUGCAUACAGUGGGUCGCAAGAGCGCAAGCUGGAGCCAAUCCUCAAAGUGCAUCUCAGUGCGGAUUGCAGUCUGCAACUCGACUGCAUGAAGCUGGAAUCGCUAGUAAUCGUGGAUCAGCUACGCCACGGUGAAUACGUUCCCGGGCCUUGUACACACCGCCCGUCACGCCAUGGAAGCUUGGAGCGCCCGAAGUCGGUGCCGGAACCCGCAAGGGGCCUAGCCGCCGAAGGCGAGCCAAGUGACUGGGGCGAAGUCGUAACAAGGUAGCCGUAGGGGAACCUGCGGCUGGAUCACCUCCUUUCU
rnacentral:rRNA from 1 species